AUGUCUCAGAAAAAGCAAGAAAGACAAGAAGCUGACCCCAGCUCUAUUCCAUGGUAUGAGUCCCUAGACCCUUAUAUGAGCUCUCUUCCUUGGGAUGAACAGGUAGAAUUAGAGGAAAAGCGAUUGGAAGAAAUGGAGAAUGAAAAUCUUAUGAACAGAGAAAAGAUUAAGAUCCUGACAGAAGAAAAUGAGAGAAAGAGCGCUGAAUUAGAAAAAUUAUCCUACCAGCUUCAGGAAAGGAAAAGUAUUAUUGAGGAGAAACAAUGGGCUCUCCAAGAUAAGAAGAAUCACAAGCUCCAAGAAAAGCUUGAUGGAGCUCUGGAAAAAAUUCAAGAUCUGCUCCAAAAGGAGAAAAAAGAGAGCAUAAAACAGGAAAACAUGGUCAAGAAGAAUCAGGAGCUCCAAGAGAAGCUUGACGAAGCUCUGGAAAAACUGGAAGAAAUCCACCAAGAAGAGAAGCAACAGUCCACACAGCAGAGAGACCUGCAGAGCAAACUCCAAGCCAUGGAGGAAAAAUACAAAGCGCUGCAGGUGAAACGUGAUAAAACUCUGCACAAAAGUCAACAGUUGCUUCAAGACAAGAAGCAAAUGGAAAUGAAACAGAAAGAAAUGGACUCCAAGCUUGACGAGAUGGAGGAAAAACACAGAUUGCUCCAAAUCAAGCUUGAGAAAACAGUGCACAAAAACAAAGAGUUCAUUCAAGAGAGAGAGCAACAAGAAAUGCUCGAGAAAGAAACAGACUCCAAGCUUGAAGUCUUGGAGGAAAAACUGAAAAUGCUGCAAAUAACUCAUGAGGAAACACUGCUCAAAAAUAAAGAGAUGCUUCAUGAGAAAGACCAACAGAAAAUACAAAAGGAAGAAAUGGAUUGCAAGCUGAGGAACAUCGAGAAACAAAAUGAAGGCUUGCAAGUAAUGCUUGAUGAAGCUCUGGAGAGAAAUAAAGAGUUUCUUCACAAGAAAGACCAACAGAAAAAACAAAAGGAAGAAAUGGACUGCAAGCUGAGGUACAUCAAGAAACAGAAUGAAGGCUUGCAAGUAAUGCUUGAUGAAGCUCUGGAGAGAAAUAAAGAGUUUCUUCACAAGAUAGACCAACAGAAAAUACAAAAGGAAGAAAUGGAUUGCAAGCUGAGGAACAUCGAGAAGCAAAAUGAAGGCUUGCAAGUAAUGCUUGAAGAAGCUCUGGAGAGAAAUAAGGAGAUCCUCCAAGACAAGAAACAAGAGCCCGUAGAGCAGAGAGACCUGCAGAGCAAACUCCAAGCCAUGGAGGAAAAAUACAAAGCUCUGCAGGUGAAGCAUGACAAAACUCUGCGCAAAAGUCAACAGUUGCUUCAAGACAAGAAGCAAAUGGAAAUGAAACAGAAAGAAAUGGACUCCAAGCUUGACGAGAUGGAGGAAAAACACAGAUUGCUUCAAGUCAGGCUCGAUAAAAAAGUGCACAGAAAUAAAGAGUUCGUUCAAGAGAGAGAGCAACAAGGAAUGCUCGAGAAAGAAACGGACCGCAAGUUUGAAGUCUUGGAGGAAAAAUGCAAAAUGCUCCAAAUAACUCUUGAGGAAACACUGCUCAAAAAUAAAGAGUUGCUUCACGAGAAAGACCAACAGAAAAUACAAAAGGAAGAAAUGGAUUGCAAGCUGAGGAACCUCGAGAAACAAAAUGAAGGCUUGCAAGUAAUACUCGAUGAAGCUCUGGAGAAAAAUAAAGAGAUCCUCCAAGACAAGAAACAAGAGCCCGUAGAGCAGAGAGACCUGCAGAGCAAACUCCAAGCCAUGGAGAAAAAAUACAAAGCUCUGCAGGUGAAGCAUGACAAAACUCUGCACAAAAGUCAACAGUUGCUUCAAGACAAGAAGCAAAUGGAAAUGAAACAGAAGGAAAUGGACUCCAAGCUUGACGAGAUGGAGGAAAAACACAGAUUGCUUCAAGUCAGGCUUGAUAAAAAAGUGCACAGAAAUAAAGAGUUCGUUCAAGAGAGAGAGCAACAAGGAAUGCUCGAGAAAGAAACGGACCGCAAGUUUGAAGUCUUGGAGGAAAAAUGCAAAAUGCUCCAAAUAACUCUUGAGGAAACACUGCUCAAAAAUAAAGAGUUGCUUCACGAGAAAGACCAACAGAAAAUACAAAAGGAAGAAAUGGAUUGCAAGCUGAGGAACAUCGAGAAGCAAAAUGAAGGCUUGCAAGUAAUGCUUGAAGAAGCUCUGGAGAAAAAUAAAGAGAUCCUCCAAGACAAGAAACAAGAGCCCGUAGAGCAGAGAGACCUGCAGAGCAAACUCCAAGCCAUGGAGGAAAAAUACAAAGCUCUGCAGGUGAAGCAUGACAAAACUCUGCGCAAAAGUCAACAGUUGCUUCAAGACAAGAAGCAAAUGGAGAUGAAACAGAAAGAAAUGGACUCCAAGCUUGACGAGAUGGAGGAAAAACACAGAUUGCUUCAAGUCAGGCUCGAUAAAAAAGUGCACAGAAAUAAAGAGUUCGUUCAAGAGAGAGAGCAACAAGGAAUGCUCGAGAAAGAAACGGACCGCAAGUUUGAAGUCUUGGAGGAAAAAUGCAAAAUGCUCCAAAUAACUCUUGAGGAAACACUGCUCAAAAAUAAAGAGUUGCUUCACGAGAAAGACCAACAGAAAAUACAAAAGGAAGAAAUGGAUUGCAAGCUGAGGAACAUCGAGAAACAAAAUGAAGGCUUGCAAGUAAUACUCGAUGAAGCUCUGGAGAAAAAUAAAGAGAUCCUCCAAGACAAGAAACAAGAGCCCGUAGAGCAGAGAGACCUGCAGAGCAAACUCCAAGCCAUGGAGGAAAAAUACAAAGCUCUGCAGGUGAAGCAUGACAAAACUCUGCACAAAAGUCAACAGUUGCUUCAAGACAAGAAGCAAAUGGAAAUGAAACAGAAGGAAAUGGACUCCAAGCUUGACGAGAUGGAGGAAAAACACAGAUUGCUCCAAAUCAGGCUUGAUAAAAAAGUGCACGGAAAUAAAGAGGUGCUUCAAGAAAAAGACCAACAGAAAAUACAACAGGAAGAAGAAAAACUUAAUUUCCAGAGGAAAAAUCAAGCACUCCAAGAAUUGUAUAAUGAAACGAAGUACAAAACAACUGUACUGGAAGGAGAAAAGAAACAACUGGAAAAACAAUGCUCAGCGAUGCAGAGUAGCAUCAAUGAGAUGCUGAGAAAAAAUAGCGAACUUGAGGAACUUUCUAAGAUCUUGAAGUACAAAAACACUGAAAUCCAGGUGCAAAAGCAAGAACAACAGAAAACACAUAAAGACCUGCAGUGUAGACUUCAAGAAAUCCAGAAGAGAAACCAGCAGCUGGAAGACAUGCACACAGAUGUGCACAAGGCAAAGGGAAUAGAGGAGGCAACAGUUAAAGAACUGAAAGACAAGCUUAAAGAAAAACAAGAACAAUUAGAAGACAUGGUGAAAAGAUGCAGCAAACUUGAGAAAGAAAACACAGAAACAAUGGAUGAGCUGAAAACCCUCAUCAUUGAGAAGAAAGUGCUCGUGGAAGAGUAUCUGAAAAAGAAGAAAAACGCUUCCACUGGUUCUGGAGGAGGAACACUGCUGCUUCUCACCUGA
ensembl:lncRNA